AUGUUAGAUGCCAACCUGCUAGAAGUAGAAGAAAUAAGACCCACUUAUAACAGUAGCACAGAGCAAUGGGAGACUGCCCCAGGAGAGAGUAAGGGAGGUAAAAACAGACGCAGAGGUAAGAAUGAGAAUGAAUCUGAGAAAAGAGAGCUGGUGUUCAAAGAAGAUGGACAAGAGUAUGCCCAAGUAAUCAAAAUGUUAGGAAAUGGAAGAUUAGAAGCAAUGUGUUUUGAUGGAGUGAAGAGGUUAUGUCACAUCAGAGGGAAACUGAGGAAAAAGGUUUGGAUAAAUACUUCAGACAUCAUAUUGGUUGGUCUCAGAGACUACCAAGAUAACAAAGGUGAUGUGACUUUAAAAUACAAUGCAGUUGAAGCCAGAAGUCUGAAGGCAUAUGGGAGCUUCCAGAACACACUAAAAUCAAGGAAACUGAUACAUUUGGUCCUGGAGAUGAUGAUGAAAUUCAUUUUGAUGACAUUGGAGAUGAUGAUGAAGACAUCGAUGAUAUCUAAAAAACCUGGACAUUGUACAUUCCAGCCUUUCUGAAGAUUGUCCUGCAAUUUGGAUUUUGGCCAUCAAAAAGGAGAUUAAAAUCUUAUUAGCAUGAAUACAAUGUGCUAAAGCAGACUGAUUUGUUUCUAAGGUAUUUGUGUUUCUUUAAAAACUGAUUAAUACUGAAUUGGGUUAAGCAAGAUGGUAAGCCUACUUUGUUCUCUUGCUGUAAUGGAGCUUAUGGGUAGAAGAUCACAUCUAUUUUAAACAAGACAAAAGCAAA